AUUGAACGCUGGCGGAAUGCUUUACACAUGCAAGUCGAACGGCAGCACGGGGGCAACCCUGGUGGCGAGUGGCGAACGGGUGAGUAAUACAUCGGAACGUGCCCAGUCGUGGGGGAUAACGUAGCGAAAGUUACGCUAAUACCGCAUACGAUCUACGGAUGAAAGCGGGGGACCGUACGGCCUCGCGCGAUUGGAGCGGCCGAUGUCAGAUUAGGUAGUUGGUGAGGUAAAGGCUCACCAAGCCGACGAUCUGUAGCUGGUCUGAGAGGACGACCAGCCACACUGGGACUGAGACACGGCCCAGACUCCUACGGGAGGCAGCAGUGGGGAAUUUUGGACAAUGGGCGCAAGCCUGAUCCAGCCAUUCCGCGUGCAGGACGAAGGCCUUCGGGUUGUAAACUGCUUUUGUACGGAACGAAAAGGCUCUGGUUAAUACCUGGGGCUCAUGACGGUACCGUAAGAAUAAGCACCGGCCAACUACGUGCCAGCCGCCGCAGUAA
rnacentral:rRNA from 1 species